rnacentral:rRNA from 1 species
GACGAAACGCUGGCGGCGUGCUUAACACAUGCAAGUCGAGCGGUAAGGCCCUUUCGGGGGUACACGAGCGGCGAACGGGUGAGUAACACGUGGGUGACCUGCCCUCAGCUCUGGGAUAAGCCCGGGAAACUGGGUCUAAUACCGGAUAUGACUCCAUGACGCAUGUUGUGGGGUGGAAAGCCUUGUGCGGCUGAGGAUGGGCCCGCGGCCUAUCAGCUUGUUGGUGGGGUGAUGGCCACCAAGGCGACGACGGGUAGCCGGCCUGAGAGGGCGACCGGCCACACUGGGACUGAGAUACGGCCCAGACUCCUACGGGAGGCAGCAGUGGGGAAUCUUGCGCAAUGGGCGAAAGCCUGACGCAGCGACGCCGCGUGAGGGAUGACGGCCUC